rnacentral:rRNA from 1 species
GAUGAACGCUGGCGGUAUGCUUAACACAUGCAAGUCGAACGGACUCUUCGGAGUUAGUGGCGGACGGGUGAGUAACGCGUGAGAAUCUGGCUUUGGGUUCGGGACAACCACUGGAAACGGUGGCUAAUACCGGAUGUGCCGAGAGGUAAAGGAGAAAUUGCCUGAAGAUGAGCUCGCGUCUGAUUAGCUAGUUGGUGAGGUAAAGGCUCACCAAGGCAGCGAUCAGUAGCUGGUCUGAGAGGAUGACCAGCCACACUGGGACUGAGACACGGCCCAGACUCCUACGGGAGGCAGCAGUGGGGAAUUUUCCGCAAUGGGCGAAAGCCUGACGGAGCAAUACCGCGUGAGGGAAGAAGGCUCUUGGGUUGUAAACCUCUUUUCUUAGGGAAGAACAAAAUGACGGUACCUAAGGAAUCAGCAUCGGCUAACUCCGUG